rnacentral:misc_RNA from 1 species
AAGUCGUAACAAGGUUUCCGUAGGUGAACCUGCGGAAGGAUCAUUAAUGAAUUUGGAGAAUUGAUGCUGGCCUUUGUGCACCUAUUAUUGUACCUUUGGGUUUCUGUUUGGGAAGUGCUACUAAGAAAUAUUUUAUAUUUUCUUAGGAAAGCUUCCUUAGGAUUCCCUACAUUUUUAAACAACCCUUUUAAAUUUUGACUAAUGUUUUUUAUAAUAAAAUAUAUAAACAACUUUAAACAACGGAUCUCUUGGCUUUU